UACGUAGGGUGCGAGCGUUGUUCGGAAUUACUGGGCGUAAAGCGCACGUAGGCGGCUUUGUAAGUUAGAGGUGAAAGCCCAGGGCUCAACCCUGGAAUUGCCUUUAAGACUGCAUCGCUUGAACAUCGGAGAGGUAAGUGGAAUUCCGAGUGUAGAGGUGAAAUUCGUAGAUAUUCGGAAGAACACCAGUGGCGAAGGCGACUUACUGGACGAUUGUUGACGCUGAGGUGCGAAAGCGUGGGGAGCAAACAGG
rnacentral:rRNA from 1 species